rnacentral:siRNA from 1 species
GCAGAAGUACUCACUGAUGGCC